rnacentral:rRNA from 1 species
GUGAUUGCAGUGAAUUCUGCAAUUCACAUACCUAUGCAUUGCUUGCUUCUUACUCGAUGCCAGAGCCAAGUCCGUGUGAAAGUUUGACUCACUUGUUUUUUGCCCUCGGCCACUCAGAGCUACUGCUUCGCAAAAUCAGAGUUUGUGUCUCGGCGGGCGCGUGUCCCGGAGCUCCCUGAGGAGCAACCCGACGCGUCACGCCGAGUCAACAUAACGUAGGUUCACAAAGGGUUCGGGAGUUGAAUUAAACUCCGAUAAUGAUUCCGGUAGGGGGGUGCUGCGGAGGGAUCAUUAUGGAGGUUUAUUCAACUCCCAACCCUUUGUGAACCUACCUUUAUGUUGCUUCGGCGGUGACGCGCCGGGUUGCUCCCUCAGGGAGCUCCCGGGACCACGCGCCCGCCGGAGACCACAAACUCUUGAUUUUGCGAAAGCAGUAUUCUUCUGAGUGGCCGAAAGGCAAAAAAACAAAUGAAUCAAAACUUUCAACAACGGAUCUCUUGGUUCUGGCAUCGAUGAAGAACGCAGCGAAAUGCGAUAAGUAAUGUGAAUUGCAGAAUUCAGUGAAUCAUCGAAUCUUUGAACGCACAUUGCGCCCGCCAGCAUUCUGGCGGGCAUGCCUGUUCGAGCGUCAUUUCAACCCUCGAGCUCGUCUUCAUUGACGAGAUCGGUGUUGGGACCCGGCGAUCGGGGACUUUAGUUCCUCUGCCGGUCCUGAAAUUCAGUGGCGGCCCGUUGCGGCGACCUCUGCGUAGUAACUUAACCUCGCACUGGGACAGCAGCGCGGCCACGCCGUAAAACCCCCGACUUUUUUUAAGGUUGACCUCGAAUCAGGUAGGACUAUCCCGCUGAACUUAAGCAUAUCAAAGGCCCGGAGGAAA